AACUUGGGAAAGUUAGGAUUAGGGCAGCAGUGAGUGUCACAGGUUAACAGCAGCACGUCGUUCCUGGAGUUAAGGCUGGUAUUUUAUUUAACUCUGCCAUGCUUUUCACCUGUGAAAUUCUCUGAGCUUUAUGGAAGGAAGCACCUCCUUUCAAGAACGUCUCUUAGUGUGAUGAGGUUUUUGGCUUGUGUUACUCUGUGCCACACAAACAGCACAGACUGGAUUAUUACCAGGGUUAAGAAUGAAGUAAAAAAUUUGCUCUGAGGCAGGAAGAGUGGAUUCCAGUAGAUUCAUGGCGACAGCAAUGGCCGGGUGUGCUGGAUUCCUUGCUCAGCUCUGUGCAGAAGUUGCAGCGUGAUCUGAGGUAAUUUAUAUUGUGACUGAGAAUAUUCUGCAUUGCUGGAACUUAUUUAAGUGGCUGCAGCUAUAUGCAAAAUUGAUCCAACAGUUCAGCAUUGAUCAUCGUACGGCAUCAUCAAUUCAGAAGAUCAGAAUAUAAAGCUGUCCUCAAGCACUGGUGCUUUCCCUAUCAGGAAUUUGUAAACUGAAGUCCUUAACAUGACCAGAAAGAAACCGCCAGGCUUCUCAAGAUGCCAGCUGGAAGCCUUUGGCUGAAGCUCCCAGCUGGUGCUGUUGGAAUGGCAUAAAAAGAGACUUUGAGACCAGCGGGCUGAGAUGCUCCUGGGCACAAGCAAACGCUGCUUUCAAUGAAAGCUUUUAAGAGGAAAUCUGUGUCUGAGGACGACGGGGCUCUGAGUCACUUGUUUCCUUCAGUAGUGAAGCCAUCUCCCCAGGGACUGCAGUUUUGCAAGCCCAGCUCUGCCUUGUUGAUUAAGGAAUCCCAUGACUUGGACCACAAGAAGUUUUUCAUUUAUUUCAGAUAGAAUUAAAGACACAGAAAAAAUUAGCAUAUAAUUUGUUGGCAGGCUGCAUCCCCCACACCACCAUUACCCCCUAACCCUUAUGUUUGCUUCCCAAAUGUAGGUAAUGAUGAGACUCAAGGGAGACGUGAAUUAUAACUUGUCUGUGGCUUGGCUAAUGAAGAAGGAACAGACUUUGUUUCCAUCUGGACUGUGGUUUUAUUUAUUUUCUCCCUUUUACUUUAAAUAAAGGAAGUUGAAUUUC
rnacentral:lncRNA from 7 species